rnacentral:rRNA from 1 species
GAUGAACGCUGGCGGCGUGCCUAAUACAUGCAAGUCGAGCGAACAGACGAGGAGCUUGCUCCUCUGACGUUAGCGGCGGACGGGUGAGUAACACGUGGAUAACCUACCUAUAAGACUGGGAUAACUUCGGGAAACCGGAGCUAAUACCGGAUAAUAUAUUGAACCGCAUGGUUCAAUAGUGAAAGACGGUUUUGCUGUCACCUAUAGAUGGAUCCGCGCCGCAUUAGCUAGUUGGUAAGGUAACGGCUUACCAAGGCGACGAUGCGUAGCCGACCUGAGAGGGUGAUCGGCCACACUGGAACUGAGACACGGUCCAGACUCCUACGGGAGGCAGCAGUAGGGAAUCUUCCGCAAAGGGCGAAAGCCUGACGGAGCAACGCCGCGUGAGUGAUGAAGGUCUUCGGAUCGUAAAACUCUGUUAUUAGGGAAGAACAAAUGUGUAAGUAACUAUGCACGUCUUGACGGUACCUAAUCAGAAAGCCACGGCUAACUACGUG